rnacentral:rRNA from 1 species
UACGUAGGGACCAAGCGUUGUUCGGAUUUACUGGGCGUAAAGGGCGCGUAGGCGGUGCGGUAAGUCACUUGUGAAAUCUCUGAGCUUAACUCAGAACGGCCAAGUGAUACUGCAGUACUAGAGUGCGGAAGGGGCAAUCGGAAUUCUUGGUGUAGCGGUGAAAUGCGUAGAUAUCAAGAGGAACACCUGAGGUGAAGACGGGUUGCUGGGCCGACACUGACGCUGAUGCGCGAAAGCCAGGGGAGCAAACGGGG